CUUUUGUAUUCUGGUGUUUAAUUGCCCCUUUGUUUUGCAUAAUCCGAUUAUCUCGUUUUGAUCAAAUAUUGUCCAAACUUAACUGACAAAAAGGUGUCAUAAACCACACUGGGUGGUCCAGACAGUGUCAUUUAACACGAUAGAUGCCACUAUGUCUCCUCUUUCUGGUAGUAUUAAGCAGUCACUUGGAUGAAUAAUUAACGCCGAUGUACUUAACAGUUGCUUAAAUUAGAUAUGUGACAUAUGGUCAAAUAUAAAGUCAUGUCCAAUUUAGAUAAUCAGAAAUUUACACCGUAAAGAUACUAGCCCGAUUAAUUUAUUAAAGUAUUUAAUAAUUAUAAAAUUAACGUAAAAAAACAAGUAACGUAUUUAGCGUGUAUCAGUUAAUUAAAAAGACGUCAUUCCGUAUUAAGAUUUAAUAUUACGACAAUAAACGAUCGACAUCAUAAAAAAAGAAAUUACGUUUGACAGCAACGGGGGACAUUUAAUUACCUAUCGACUUCCCAAUAGGAAUGCAAUUGACGAAAUAUCAGCAGAGGUGCUCAAUCAGCGUAGUAAAUCGACCGUAUCUAGGGCAUUGUUUUCACCGUCGCUAAGGGACUGCCCCUUUUGUGACGUCAUCGCGAUAAGGUCAAUA